rnacentral:rRNA from 1 species
UACGAAGGGAGCUAGCGUUGUUCGGAAUCACUGGGCGUAAAGCGCACGUAGGCGGAUGUGUCAGUCAGGGGUGAAAUCCCGGAGCUCAACUUCGGAACUGCCUCUGAUACAGCACAUCUUGAGUCCGAUAGAGGUGGGUGGAAUUCCUAGUGUAGAGGUGAAAUUCGUAGAUAUUAGGAGGAACACCCAUAGCGAAGGCAGCUUGCUGGGACGUUACUGACGCUAAGGCGCGAAAGCGUGGGGAGCGAACAGG